rnacentral:rRNA from 1 species
CAGUAGCCACGGUAAUACGAGGGGGGCAAGCGUUGUUCGGAAUUAUUGGGCGUAAAGGGUGCGUAGGCGGUUUGGCAAGUUUGGUGUGAAAUCUUCGGGCUCAACUCGAAGUCUGCAUCGAAAACUGCCGGGCUUGAGUAUGGGAGAGGUGAGUGGAAUUUCCGGUGUAGCGGUGAAAUGCGUAGAUAUCGGAAGGAACACCUGUGGCGAAAGCGGCUCACUGGACCAUAACUGACGCUGAUACACGAAAGCUAGGGGAGCAAACAGGAUUAGAUACCCCAGUAGUCCCUGUCUCUUAUAC